rnacentral:siRNA from 1 species
UUGAUAUUAAGGAGCCUUUGA